UCGAAUCCUGCACGACCCACCAAUCGUUCGGUGGAAACGAGAAUAAAACGUGAAGGAUAACGUUGCGUCAGCAACGGCCCGUAGGGCGAGGCAAAGCCGAGUCAUCCUGCACAACCCACCA
rnacentral:sRNA from 3 species